rnacentral:rRNA from 1 species
CAGUAGCCGCGGGAAAACGUAGGGUGCGAGCGUUAAUCGGAAUUACUGGGCGUAAAGCGAGCGCAGACGGUUAUUUAAGCAGGAUGUGAAAUCCCCGGGCUUAACCUGGGAACUGCGUUCUGAACUGGAUAGCUAGAGUGUGUCAGUGGGGGGUAGAAUUCCACGUGUAGCAGUGAAAUGCGUAGAGAUGUGGAGGAAUACCGAUGGCGAAGGCAGCCCCCUGGGAUAACACUGACGUUCAUGCUCGAAAGCGUGGGUAGCAAACAGGAUUAGAUACCCCAGUAGUCCCUGUCUCUUAUAC